GAAUGGGGAACUUACCUAAACUGCUGAUACAAGGCAGGAUUGAUCCAUGGUUUCAUGUUGUUUAUGCCAAAUUCGGACCCGACCAUCUGAAUGUUGCAGCAGAAAACAAGACUCAUCAG